CCUGCUUCUAUUUACGGUGAUCAGUUUAUAUCAUCUAGCAAGGUCAGAUCUUAUAUUGCAAAAAAUCACUGACAGAAAUAUAGGAGGUGGAAAAUUAUGAUCAGGAUUUAUAUUUCGUUUAAACUAAUCGGGUUUUUACAGCUUUAGAUAGGACCGCAUGGGCGAAGCUUUUGUCUCGUGUUACAAUCUCUGCCAGUAUAUCAUGAAUUUGUCGUUUUAUAUACAUAAUUAUACAAAAAAAAAAAAUUCUAGCAUAUUUGGAACCAAAACAUGUAUUAUUCGAAGCAGAGUGAGCAAAUUAUCGUUUCAACUGGCCGAAAUUUUUCAAUUCGGAUUAUUUGAUUAUUGUUAAGAUUUAUAUUACGUGUAUUAUUAGUUACGUAGUGUCGGGGAAAAAAAUUCUCAGGAAUCUGAAACUACAUUCUUCAGGAUGAAAGGGAAACUAUACUCAUUCGCAGAUACUUAAGGAGAAAACUGUUUCACCUAGAGCUCACCUUCUUGGGUGACGGAGAAGAGGUUGUCUGAGGUGCCUUCUCUUUCAUUUCUUCCUGAAAAUAAGUAGCAAUGACAUGAAAGAGAGGUGAGAGUGGGAGCAAACCAAUACCUCAGCCAUUGAUCGAACUCUAAGGCUAACAUUCCUGCGCAAGGUUGGUAUGUAUGUUGCGGGAAGGCCGAGCUGGUUCACCCUGGACCUGUUAGAAAGGCGAGAAACAGGGCUCGCCAAGAGAGAUUGAAUGGCAUACGAGGCAGACAUAUCUAAUUGGAAAGAGAGAAAAUUUUCUGGGUUGGAACGAUUUACUUUAUCUCUGGUAUAGGAGCUCCGUUUGAUCAAUCUGCAAAUGCUAGAUGAAGUGAGUGUGCUUAUAUAGAAAAGAGGGUGCAAGUAGGGUGGUGGAUAUUUUGGUUCCACGUCAUAAGGUAUCGGGGUCCUAAAGGUCAUUGGUUCACGUGGAUGAGCUUGUCCACACAUGGAAAAAGCAAGAGGCGUGGCUCUCUUAUGGACCAGGAGGUGCUUCUCAGUGAAUCUGAGGUUCAUAAUGGUUGCACACUUGGAGCGUUAAGGACUUUGGGUUAGGCCGACACUAGAACGUUCCAUUAGCUUCCACAUAAUUGGAGGUACGAUUUUAAUUAAUUAAUUGAAAAAACAAAACUUCUUUAAUGCAUUUAUAGUGUAUUAAUUAAAAUUCUCUACAGUUAGCACUUGGAAAGUUAGGAUAAA